rnacentral:rRNA from 1 species
GAUGAACGCUGGCGGCGUGCCUAAUACAUGCAAGUCGAGCGAACAGACGAGGAGCUUGCUCCUCUGACGUUAGCGGCGGACGGGUGAGUAACACGUGGAUAACCUACCUAUAAGACUGGGAUAACUUCGGGAAACCGGAGCUAAUACCGGAUAAUAUAUUGAACCGCAUGGUUCAAUAGUGAAAGACGGCUUUGCUGUCACUUAUAGAUGGAUCCGCGCUGCAUUAGCUAGUUGGUAAGGUAACGGCUUACCAAGGCAACGAUGCGUAGCCGACCUGAGAGGGUGAUCGGCCACACUGGAACUGAGACACGGUCCAGACUCCUACGGGAGGUAGCAGUAGGGAAUCUUCCGCAAUGGGCGAAAGCCUGACGGAGCAACGCCGCGUGAGUGAUGAAGGUCUUCGGAUCGUAAAACUCUGUUAUUAGGGAAGAACAAAUGUGUAAGUAACUAUGCACGUCUUGACGGUACCUAAUCAGAAAGCCACGGCUAACUACGUG